rnacentral:rRNA from 1 species
UACAGAGGUCCCAAGCGUUGUUCGGAUUCACUGGGUGUAAAGGGUGCGUAGGCGGUCGGGUAAGUCUGACGUGAAAUCUUCAAGCUCAACUUGGAAACUGCGUCCGAUACUAUUCGGCUAGAGGAAUGGAGGGGAGACUGGAAUACUUGGUGUAGCAGUGAAAUGCGUAGAUAUCAAGUGGAACACCAGUGGCGAAGGCGGAGUCUCGUGGACAUUUCCUGACGCUGAGGCACGAAAGCCAGGGGAGCAAACGGG